GCCAGUGUUCCUUCCCCAUGGAAGAGAGCUUCUUUUUAUGUCCUGCGUUGAUUGUUGUGGUGGUCAGUAAAGGUUUUGUGGAUAUUAUUUAGUAGCCGCUCCUUCUGAGGGGAGGAAGGGGAACGCACCUUGGUAGUGUUUAAGCAAGAGUCCUGCGGGCAUACAUAACCCGUAGUAGUUCAUCUGUCUUUGCACACUAGGUAAGACCUGGGCGGACCACCCCCUGUAUUUUGGUUAGCGCGCCAGGUGGUGCUAAAUGUUAGGACCUGAGCCCUAGGACCAUGCCCCAGGACUACCUGACAUGAUGACUCCUUGCUGUCCCCAGUCCACCUGGCCGUGCUGCUGCUCCAGUUUCAACUGUUCUGCCUUAUUAUUAUUCGACCAUGCUGGUCAUUUAUGAACAUUUGAACAUCUUGGCCAUGUUCU
ensembl:lncRNA